rnacentral:lncRNA from 1 species
GUGAAAGGUUUCGGGGCCUCGCGAAGAGCAAGGGCGAACGGCGGGAGCCUCGCGCCCAGCGGUCGGCCGGGACGCGCCGGGCGUCUUGCAAAACGCGGGCGCAGCCGAAAGCCGAGCCCCGAACCCCCCCGCUGCUCCUUGGGGGUGCUUUUACGGGGGGGGAAAACACCCGGGCCAGGGUGGAAAAAUCCUCCUUCGUGCUUGUGCUAAUUGCACACGUUUUGGGUUUUUUUUUAGCCUGUGCAGCCAGGUUAAACGAGAGCCCGCGCUAGCUGACUUUCCGCCCCCCGCCAGGAGUUACAACCCCGUGUUUUGGUAGCUCGGCGCCGAGGCAGCGUUUCGGAAACGCGGAUGCAGCCCAGACCCGCCGCCGCUUUGGUGCAUCCCUGCAGGACAAAGAUCCUCUCGCCGCUCGCGACGUUCCUGCUUCCCGCGCCUCCUCCCGUGGCGGGUCCCCCCCGAGUUCGGAUCUUGGCCCAAAGGCAGCGAGGACACCGUUCCCACGGAUCCUCGAACCGGCCGUGGC